GGGGUUGUGGCUCAGUGAUAGAGCGCUUGCCUAGCAUGUGCAAGGCACUGAGUUCAAUUCUCAGCACCA
rnacentral:tRNA from 1 species